rnacentral:rRNA from 1 species
AGUGAGCGCUGGCGGUAGGCCUAACACAUGCAAGUCGAACGGCAGCACAGUAAGAGCUUGCUCUUACGGGUGGCGAGUGGCGGACGGGUGAGGAAUACAUCGGAAUCUACUUUUUCGUGGGGGAUAACGUAGGGAAACUUACGCUAAUACCGCAUACGACCUACGGGUGAAAGCAGGGGAUCUUCGGACCUUGCGCGAUUGAAUGAGCCGAUGUCGGAUUAGCUAGUUGGCGGGGUAAAGGCCCACCAAGGCGACGAUCCGUAGCUGGUCUGAGAGGAUGGUCAGCCACACUGGAACUGAGACACGGUCCAGACUCCUACGGGAGGCAGCAGUGGGGAAUAUUGGACAAUGGGCGCAAGCCUGAUCCAGCCAUACCGCGUGGGUGAAGAAGGCCUUCGGGUUGUAAAGCCCUUUUGUUGGGAAAGAAAAGCAGCAGGUUAAUACCCCGCUGUUCUGACGGUACCCAAAGAAUAAGCACCGGCUAACUUCGUG